UACGUAGGGUGCAAGCGUUAAUCGGAAUUACUGGGCGUAAAGCGUGCGCAGGCGGUUUUGUAAGCCAGAUGUGAAAAUCCCCGGGCUUAACCCUGGGAAUGGCAUUUGGGACUGCCAAGGCUUGAGUGACGGCAGAGGAGACUGGAAUUCCUGGUGUAGCAGUGAAAUGCGUAGAUAUCAGGAGGAAUACCGAUGGCGAAGGCAGGUCUCUGGGCUGACACUGACGCUCAUGCAC
rnacentral:rRNA from 1 species